UACAGAGGGCCUAUAAGGUGGGGAGGGGUAGUGAGACACAAACACUGGACCUUAGGAGGAACAACAGGGGAGGAAUCGCCUCAACAAUGACCUCAUUGUUGCCAUAAUCAACUAGCCAUGUAUGUUGGCUCAUGUCUACUAAAUGAGGGACGUAUCUGAGCUGCACGUAUUCACUAUACGUGGAUGCUCGUCUCGCUAGACACUACCUAAGUUGUGCCCCUGUGGCAUUUUAUAUACUGCAUUUGGAUUGACAUCAAUAAACACCUGGACAUAGUGAGUUACCUAAAAGUGCUGUGUGAUUAACGCGGUGGCGGGUACACAAUUGACAGGUGAUGAGCUAGUGUUAAAUAUAUCAUACAAUUACAUAUGUAUGUAUUUCUGUUUUUCCUUCUACAGAAAUCCACGUGGAAGUCA